UGGGAUUUGGUGUAUGGUGCACAGCUGCUCUCAAUUAUAUGCUCCAUGAUUACAUGAAGCAGCAGGACAGGGUUCGAUUCCCUGUGUCCCAA